CCCUCGUAGCUCAGUGGCUUGUCUGUCAUUCGCAUCCCACACAUCAAGGGUUCAAAGGCUGGUAGAUGAUGAUGAUGGAUGUACGCUAAUUAAUUAUUGAUCAGCACAGGUAUUCUAAAAUACCUUUUUUAAAAAAAAAAUUAAGUAUUUUUGAGAUAUUAUAAUGAAAUGAGAAGAAAGAAGCUUACAAGGAUGGAUGAAAAAAGGAGACUCCCACUAGCCUUUAUACCAUCCCAUGACCAUUAUUACUGUGAAUAUUUUUAUAUUUUUAGUUAUCAUUAUAGAAAUAAAAAAUAAAAAUUAUUGAGGAAAGCUUUGACAGAGUUUAGCCAUCAGAAUCCAUGGUGUUUUUAGAACAAGCAAAAAAAAAAAA
rnacentral:lncRNA from 1 species